UGGGGAAUUUUGCACAAUGGGGGAAACCCUGAUGCAGCGACGCCGCGUGAUUUAGAAGGCCUUCGGGCUGUAAAAAUCUUUUUUACUGGACGAAAAUGACAGUACCGUAAGAAUAAGGUCCGGCUAUAUACGCGCCAGCAGCCGCGGUAAUACGUAUGGACCGAGCGUUGUCCGGAAUCAUUGGGCGUAAAGGGUACGUAGGCGGACUGGUAAGUUAGAAGUGAAAGAAUAUAGCUCAACUAUAGAAAGGUUUUAAAACUGGUAGGCUUAGGAGAUGAGAGGGAAAGUGGGAUUCCUAGUGUAACGGUGAAAUGCACAGAUAUUAGGAAAAAUACCGGUGGCGAAGGCGACUUUCUGGUCAUAAUCUGACGCUGAGGUACGAAAGGGUGGGUAGCAGACAGG
rnacentral:rRNA from 1 species